CGCGCUCUGUGCGCACCGCCCCAGCCCGGGGAGGAGCGGGAGCCGGGAGGGAGGAGGGCUCGGGGUGCUGGUUACGUAAAUUAUACUAGCCCAGUGAGAGGCCUCCAGGCUGGGGCUACGGGAGGAGGAGGAGGGCCCGCGCAAGGAGGAGGGGCUGAGAGGGAGCGGGCCGGGGUGGGAGGGGGGCGGGGGCCGGGGGCGAAGUGACCAGGCGGUGGCAGCGGCUCUGCCGAGGUGACAAUGUGUUAGGAGACCUCGCUCGGUCUCCUGCGCCUCCUCGGCCUCGGCGCCCGCUCGCGAGGAGCCCUCCAGCCCGCCGCUGCGCUAUGAGGGCGCCUCUCCGGGGCUGGCCGAGGCCGGAGCCGGCUCGCUCUUCUCCCGGGGAAGUGUGAGCAGAGAGGCGCGGGCGGGAAGCGGGGCUGCGCGCGGCGCUCGCGGGCCGGCGCGUGUUCCAGGUGCAGACCCACCCACGCUCUCCCCACCAUCCCUAGCAAAAAAGAAAAUGAAAAACAGCAAGAAGUUAACACAGCAAUGUAGACAAAAGAAUAAAACCUGUAAGUGGGAUUUCUAUAUAGAGAUUUCAAUCUAUAACUUAGAUCUG
rnacentral:lncRNA from 1 species